UACGUAGGGGGCUAGCGUUGUCCGGAUUUAUUGGGCGUAAAGAGCGUGUAGGCGGUCAGGUAGGUCUGCUGUGAAAACUCGAGGCUCAACCUCGAGACGUCGGCGGAAACCAUCUGGCUAGAGUCCGGAAGAGGAGAGUGGAAUUCCUGGUGGUAGCGGUGAAAUGCGCAGAUAUCAGGAAGAACACCCGUGGCGAAGGCGGCUCUCUGGGACGGUACUGACGCUGAGACGCGAAAGCGUGGGGAGCGAACAGG
rnacentral:rRNA from 1 species